UACGUAGGGCGCGAGCGUUGUCCGGAUUUAUUGGGCGUAAAGCGCACGUAGGCGGACCAGCAAGUUAGGGGUGAAAUCCCGGGGCUCAACCCCGGAACUGCCUUUAAAACUGUUGGUCUGGAGGUCGAGAGAGGUGAGUGGAAUUCCGAGUGUAGAGGUGAAAUUCGUAGAUAUUCGGAGGAACACCAGUGGCGAAGGCGGCUCACUGGCUCGAUACUGACGCUGAGGUGCGAAAGCGUGGGGAGCAAACAGG
rnacentral:rRNA from 1 species